rnacentral:rRNA from 1 species
GUUCCUACGGGAGGCAGCAGUGGGGGAUAUUGCACAAUGGGGGGAACCCUGAUGCAGCGACGCCGCGUGGGUGAAGGAGCGUUUCGGCGCGUAAAGCCCUAUCGGCAGGGAAGAAGAUGACGGUACCUGACCAAGAAGCCCCGGCUAAAUACGUGCCAGCAGCCGCGGUAAUACGUAUGGUGCAAGCGUUAUCCGGAUUUACUGGGUGUAAAGGGAGCGCAGGCGGCACGGCAAGCCUGAUGUGAAAGCCCGCGGCCCAACCGCGGGACUGCAU